rnacentral:lncRNA from 1 species
CUGGAAUCCAGCCUUUAGAGGGGCCCACUUGAGAACUGUCAGCAUGAUGAGGAGAGUGGAAGUCAAGUCCCACAGGUGACCCAGAACACACAGCUAGGAGGCUGCAAGGGUGAGGUCGUUAUUGAUUCAUUGAUUCAACAUGUAUUUUGGAGCCCCUGCAAUAUACCACUCUCCAUGCCAGGCCCUAAGAAGAAGACAGAUGAGGCUUUUGCACUUGUACUCCAGCAUAGCAAACAGGUGAUAAGAAAACAAACCAGUAUCCUAAACAUGUGCUUGUUACCUUAUGCAACAACAUGGCUGAUCUGACUCCACCAUUAAGUCCUAGUUCCGGGUAGGAAGAAAGCCAAGAGCAAAAGGUGUCACCUACGUGCUAGCAAAGUCUGUCCAAAAACCUGCUGGGAGGAGAUUUUACAGAAAACCCACAGAACAACUAGAGAGAGUGUCCCCAGUCACAAUUGGAGUCUUAUGUAAGAAGAAAUAAGGAAAGCCUACUGGGUUGAAUCUAAAAGUAGAAAACUCAUAACAAGGCUAUGUGUGAACAUCAAGAGAGAAUUCAAGAUGGCGGGGAUGACACUCUUUAGUCCAUGUGUGCCUGGUUUUCAUCAUCUCCUUGACUUACACACAUGUGGGUGCCUUUACCUCUGAAGACUUUUUCUCUUCUAACUGAUGAUGCUCCAUUCUCUUCUGACAAAAGCUCCCUGCCAAGGCCUGAUUGAACCUCUGCCCUGUGGUUCCUUGAAACAUCGUCAUAUUCUUGUACUAAAUUCCCCAUUUUCUUAAGCUAGCUCUGGUAAGUUUUUGCCAUUUACAGUCAAAGUGAACUCACUAAUAAAAUAUUCCCAACUGCA